rnacentral:rRNA from 1 species
UACGGAGGGUGCGAGCGUUGUCCGGAAUCACUGGGCGUAAAGGGCGCGUAGGCGGCCUGAUAAGUAGGGGGUGAAAUCUUGCGGCUUAACCGCAAGGCUGCCUUCUAAACUGUCAGGCUAGAGCACAGUAGGGGCAGGUGGAAUUCCCGGUGUAGCGGUGGAAUGCGUAGAGAUCGGGAAGAACAUCAGUGGCGAAGGCGGCCUGCUGGGCUGUUGCUGACGCUGAGGCGCGACAGCGUGGGGAGCAAACAGG